CUGGGAAAAUAGGAGGUACCGGGACCCUUUUCGAGGGAGCAGACAGGCUGGGAGUGUGGGGCACCCAGGCCUUGGGAACUCUCCCCUAACUAGUGUGGGGCUUUUUCCCAUGAAUUCCAGAAACUUCCAGCCUGAGUUGUGCCCUGGGAUGUCCUUUUUGGCCAGUCAAGAUGAAGGAUGGGGAAGGAGGCAAGGACCCCAUAGAGGACAGAAGAAUUGGCCUCCAGUUCCCUUCAGGGUGAAGGCGUUCAUUCCUUCCUUCAAGCAGCAAACAAGAACUGACAGUCAGCCGGGUUCUGUUUGAGGCAUGGAGGAUGCAGAGAACUAAGACGACCCAGGAAGUGAAACCGUGCACCUCAGAUUGGGACUUGAACCCACGCGGCUGGGACUCGAACCUGGCCAAAACCUACAGUCUUCCAACUGAGAUCACACACCUGGUUUCAGGAUUUAAUGAAGCUUAGAUUCUUGAUGUCUCAUCGCAGAAGAAAUUCAGUGAGAGACGAAGUGAUAGAAGGGCAUGGUCAUGGGGCCCUUAGCACGGGCACACUGGUGUGAGCUGCGGUCACUCUCUACAGUCAGCACAGAGCUACGGCCACAAAGAUGAUCAGACAUUGGAUGCAUUGCUUGGGAGCCAUGGUGGACAUUAAGAAUAGUGACUGUCAACAGUCCAGAUACAGGUAGUUUCCCUGUCCGGGGCCUGCACUGGCUGCAUUCCCCUGCCCUCUGGGCUACCCUCCCUUCCUCAGGCCCCCCCUUCAGCAUGUGAGGACCCCUCCCAUCUCCCUUGGGUGUGGCCACCUAACACCUCUGCAUCUCAGAUGAUGGGGCCAUGCCCACUCUGGCCACUCCCCGCUGGACCCACCUGGCUUGUUGGUGUCCCUCUGAAAGUGAGGAGCCCCCUCCCCCCACAGAUGCUCCCAGGGCUGCUGCCCACCC